rnacentral:rRNA from 1 species
AUUGAACGCUGGCGGCAGGCCUAACACAUGCAAGUCGAGCGGAGCGGCGGACGGGCGAGUAAUGCCUAUGAAUCUGCCUGGUAGUGGGGGAUAACGUCCGGCAACGGGCGCUAAUACAGACGACUAUCUGAUGAGCCUAGGUCGGAUUAGCUAGUUGGUGGGGUAAAGGCUUACCAAGGCGACGAUCCGUAACUGGUCUGUGUGGAUGAACAGUCACACUGGAACGGAGACACGGUCCAGAAGCCUACGGGAGGCAGCAGUGGGGAAUAUUGGACAAUGGGCGAAAGCCUGAUGCAGCCAUGCCGCGUGUAUGAAGAAGGUCUUCGGGUUGUAAAGUACUUUCAGUUGGGAGGCGUUACCAACAGAAUAAGCACCGGCUAACUUCGUGCCAGCAGCCGCGGUAAUUC